ensembl:snoRNA
CAGCCAGCCAAUUAAGCUGCUUAUCUGAAUGCAUUUCCACAGAAAUUUAGAAAUAGCUCACAAUAGUGAUGCCAUUUUAUGAGCUUUAAAGAACAUGGAGAUUGUUACAGUCCUUCAAUAUGGCUAAAAUA